rnacentral:tRNA from 2 species
GUCGGUGUAGUAUAGUGGUUAGUACGCCUCGUUGUGGAAACACAACUUCCGAUGAGACCCAUGUUCGAUUCAUGGUACCGACA